UACGAAGGGGGCUAGCGUUGCUCGGAAUCACUGGGCGUAAAGGGUGCGUAGGCGGGUCUUUUAAGUCAAGGGUGAAAUCCUGGAGCUCAACUCCAGAACUGCCUUUGAUACUGAGGAUCUUGAGUUCGGGAGAGGUGAGUGGAACUGCGAGUGUAGAGGUGAAAUUCGUAGAUAUUCGCAAGAACACCAGUGGCGAAGGCGGCUCACUGGCCCGAUACUGACGCUGAGGCACGAAAGCGUGGGGAGCAAACAGG
rnacentral:rRNA from 1 species